rnacentral:rRNA from 1 species
UACGAAGGGGGCUAGCGUUGCUCGGAAUCACUGGGCGUAAAGCGCACGUAGGCGGCUUUGCAAGUUAGAGGUGAAAGCCCGGGGCUUAACCCCGGAAUUGCCUUUAAAACUGCAUCGCUAGAAUUGUGGAGAGGUGAGUGGAAUUCCGAGUGUAGAGGUGAAAUUCGUAGAUAUUCGGAAGAACACCAGUGGCGAAGGCGACUCACUGGACACAUAUUGACGCUGAGGUGCGAAAGCGUGGGGAGCAAACAGG